rnacentral:rRNA from 1 species
CGAACGCUGGCGGCACGCCUAACACAUGCAAGUCGAGCGCCCCUUUCGGGGGGAGCGGCGGACGGGGUAGUAACGCGGGGGAACAUACCCUUUUCUAAGGAAUAGCCUCGGGAAACUGAGAGUAAUACCUUAUACGCCCUUCGGGGGAAAGAUUUAUCGCCAAAGGAUUGGCCCGCGUUGGAUUAGGAAGUUGGUGGGGUAAUGGCCUACCAAGCCGACGAUCCAUAGCUGGUUUGAGAGGAUGAUCAGCCACACUGGGACUGAGACACGUCCCAGACUCCUACGGGAGGCAGCAGUGGGGAAUCUUAGACAAUGGGCGCAAGCCUGAUCUAGCCAUGCCGCGUGAUCGAUGAAGGCCUUAGGGUUGUAAAGAUCUUUCGCUAGGGAUGAUAAUGACAGUACCUAGUAAAGAAGUCCCGGCUAACUCCGUGCCAGCAGCCGCGGUAAUACGGAGGGGACUAGCGUUGUUCGGAAUUACUGGGCGUAAAGCGUACGUAGGCGGAUUAGAAAGUAUGGGGUGAAAUCCCAGGGCUCAACCCUGGAACUGCCUCAUAAACUCCUGGUCCUGAGUUCGAGAGAGGUGAGUGGAAUUCCAAGUGUAGAGGUGAAAUUCGUAGAUAUUUGGAGGAACACCAGCACCAGUGGCGAAGGCGGCUCACUGGCUCGAUACUGACGCUGAGGUACGAAAGUGUGGGGAGCAAACAGGAUUAGAUACCCUGGUAGUCCACACCGUAAACGAUGAAUGCCAGUCGUCGGGUAGCAUGCUAUUCGGUGACACACUUAACGGAUUAAGGCCUUCCGCCUGGGGAGUACGGUCGCAAGACUAAAACUCAAAGGAAUUGACGGGGGCCCGCACAAGCGGUGGAGCCUGUGGUUUACUUCGUAGCAACGCGCAGAACCUUACCAACCAUUGACAUCCUAUGACAACCCGAGAGUUCGGGCUUUCCUUCGCGGGACAUAGUGACAGGUGCUGCAUGGCUGUCGUCAGCUCGUGUCGUGAGAUGUUCGGUUAAGUCCGGCAACGAGCGCAACCCACAUCCUUAGUUGCCAGCAGUUCGGCUGGGCACUCUAGGGAAACUGCCCGUGAUAAGCGGGAGGAAGGUGUGGAUGACGUCAAGUCCUCAUGGCCCUUACGGGUUGGGCUACACACGUGCUACAAUGGCAGUGACAAUGGGUUAAUCCCGAAAAACUGUCUCAGUUCGGAUUGGGGUCUGCAACUCGACCCCAUGAAGUCGGAAUCGCUAGUAAUCGCGUAACAGCAUGACGCGGUGAAUACGUUUCCCGGGCUUGUACACACCGCCCGUCACACCAUGGGAGUUGGGUCUACCCGAAGGCAGUGCGCCAACCUUUCGAGGGGGCAGCGGACCACGGUAGGUUCAGCGAAAUGG